CCCCUGUAGGCGGGAUGGCCCCCAGGCUGGGCUGGGCGAGUAUCUCUUCUAAAGGCUGGCCCUCAAGCGCGACUAGGAGC
rnacentral:pre_miRNA from 1 species